CAGUAGCCGCGGUAAUACAGAGGGUGCGAGCGUUAAUCGGAUUUACUGGGCGUAAAGCGUGCGUAGGCGGCUAAUUGAGUCGGAUGUGAAAUCCCCGAGCUUAACUUGGGAAUUGCAUUCAAUACUGGUUAGCUAGAGUGUGGGAGAGGAUGGUAGAAUUCCAGGUGUAGCGGUGAAAUGCGUAGAGAUCUGGAGGAAUACCGAUUGCGAAGGCAGCCAUCUGGCCUAACACUGACGCUGAGGUACGAAAGCAUGGGGAGCAAACAGGAUUAGAUACCCCAGUAGUCCCUGUCUCUUAUAC
rnacentral:rRNA from 1 species